CAACUAACAUAAUCAUUGUCCUGAAUACUACAAAUGCUAUGUACAUAUUGUUUGUAGACCAUCUCGUGGCCGGGCAGGACCAAGAUCAGCUUGGGGAGGUCAAAUAGGAGGUACUGGUGUUAAUCACAAGGCUGGUAGUGGACUACCGAGGGCAGUGUUAUCUAGGACUCCAUCUAGUUCUACUUUGGAUUCAAAAGAAGAACCUUUACCAUCAGCUCGCAGUUUUCAGUAUCCACGAUCAGAUUCAGCAGCCGAGUUUCUCACAGUCAGUCUAUCACAUAACUGCUACAUGAUGAAAGGAGCCCUUCGGCAUUCAGCUCCUCCAGCACAGAAAAGAGCGCCACCAACGGUAGACUUCAGGAAAAUGGAAACAGUGAAAUAGAUAAAUCAGUAUUUUUUGCAAAAAAAAACAUGUUAUCUACAAACUUAAAUUGGCAUUUUGUAAUAAAAUAAUUUUUAAAACGAGUAUUUUUAUGGCAAAUAAUACCUGAUCAUUAGGCUUACUGUUAGGUCCACUGCCACUGCACAGAAUGUUGUUUUAGUGAUGCACAAAUUUACCAUCUCAUGUUUUGGUAAAAUGUAUUUUUUUUUAAUUCUAAUGUAGACUAUAGUUGCAACAAAGUGCCAAAGUGAGUUCUAUGCAAACUUAUAUUUACAAAAGAGAUCUGAAAUAAAUGAUAUGCCGUGAUCAAAUAACCUGACAAAUGAAUCGUAAAAUUAACCUAAGAUAUGCCAACUCAACAAACUAUGGUAUUUUUUCCACACACCUUGUCCACCUGCCAUUGCACUGAAUAUAGUACUUACCAGGUAUAUAUAGAUUGUCUAUGGUUUUCUACUCAUGUAGAUAAACUCAUUGAAAAUGUAUGAAGAGUAAAUUGGCCCACACAUUGAUUGUUAGUUUUUUUCAUUGUCAUUUACAAUAUUGUACACACCAUGUAGAUUUCCAUGCAGUCUUCCAAUUUCAUAGUAUUAAUGAAAAGAUCAAAUAUAUAUUUUUCAGAUUGCUGAUCAUAGAUUGAGCCAACUUCAAAACACAAAACCUUGGUUUCAUGUAUGUGUAUAUAUUCAAAGUUGUGUACAUUUGUAAAUAAUAAUAAAUAAAAUUGUGAUACCAGAAUAUUAAC